rnacentral:rRNA from 1 species
GGGUUGUAAACCUCUUUCAGCAGGGAAGAAGCGCAAGUGACGGUACCUGCAGAAGAAGCGCCGGCUAACUACGUGCCAGCAGCCGCGGUAAUACGUAGGGCGCAAGCGUUGUCCGGAAUUAUUGGGCGUAAAGAGCUCGUAGGCGGUUUGUCGCGUCUGGUGUGAAAACUCGAGGCUCAACCUCGAGCUUGCAUCGGGUACGGGCAGACUAGAGUGCGGUAGGGGAGACUGGAAUUCCUGGUGUAGCGGUGGAAUGCGCAGAUAUCAGGAGGAACACCGAUGGCGAAGGCAGGUCUCUGGGCCGCAACUGACGCUGAGGAGCGAAAGCAUGGGGAGCGAACAGGAUUAGAUACCCUGGUAGUCCAUGCCGUAAACGUUGGGCACUAGGUGUGGGGCUCAUUCCACGAGUUCCGUGCCGCAGCAAACGCAUUAAGUGCCCCGCCUGGGGAGUACGGCCGCAAGGCUAAAACUCAAAGGAAUUGACGGGGGCCCGCACAAGCGGCGGAGCAUGCGGAUUAAUUCGAUGCAACGCGAAGAACCUUACCAAGGCUUGACAUGCACGAGAAGCCACCAGAGAUGGUGGUCUCUUUGGACACUCGUGCACAGGUGGUGCAUGGUUGUCGUCAGCUCGUGUCGUGAGAUGUUGGGUUAAGUCCCGCAACGAGCGCAACCCUCGUCCCAUGUUGCCAGCGGGUUAUGCCGGGGACUCAUGGGAGACUGCCGGGGUCAACUCGGAGGAAGGUGGGGAUGACGUCAAAUCAUCAUGCCCCUUAUGUCUUGGGCUUCACGCAUGCUACAAUGGCCGGUACAAAGGGCUGCGAUACCGUAAGGUGGAGCGAAUCCCAAAAAGCCGGUCUCAGUUCGGAUUGGGGUCUGCAACUCGACCCCAUGAAGUCGGAGUCGCUAGUAAUCGCAGAUCAGCAACGCUGCGGUGAAUACGUUCCCGGGCCUUGUACACACCGCCCGUCAAGUCACGAAAGUCGGUAACACCCGAAGCCCAUGGCCCAACC